UAGGUUUGAUCAUGGCUCAGGAUGAACGCUGGCGGCGUGCCUAAUACAUGCAAGUCGAGCGAACGGACGAGAAGCUUGCUUCUCUGAUGUUAGCGGCGGACGGGUGAGUAACACGUGGAUAACCUACCUAUAAGACUGGGAUAACUUCGGGAAACCGGAGCUAAUACCGGAUAAUAUUUUGAACCGCAUGGUUCAAAAGUGAAAGACGGUCUUGCUGUCACUUAUAGAUGGAUCCGCGCUGCAUUAGCUAGUUGGUAAGGUAACGGCUUACCAAGGCAACGAUGCAUAGCCGACCUGAGAGGGUGAUCGGCCACACUGGAACUGAGACACGGUCCAGACUCCUACGGGAGGCAGCAGUAGGGAAUCUUCCGCAAUGGGCGAAAGCCUGACGGAGCAACGCCGCGUGAGUGAUGAAGGUCUUCGGAUCGUAAAACUCUGUUAUUAGGGAAGAACAUAUGUGUAAGUAACUGUGCACAUCUUGACGGUACCUAAUCAGAAAGCCACGGCUAACUACGUGCCAGCAGCCGCGGUAAUACGUAGGUGGCAAGCGUUAUCCGGAAUUAUUGGGCGUAAAGCGCGCGUAGGCGGUUUUUUAAGUCUGAUGUGAAAGCCCACGGCUCAACCGUGGAGGGUCAUUGGAAACUGGAAAACUUGAGUGCAGAAGAGGAAAGUGGAAUUCCAUGUGUAGCGGUGAAAUGCGCAGAGAUAUGGAGGAACACCAGUGGCGAAGGCGACUUCUGGUCUGUAACUGACGCUGAUGUGCGAAAGCGUGGGGAUCAAACAGGAUUAGAUACCNUGGUAGUCCACGCCGUAAACGAUGAGUGCUAAGUGUUAGGGGGUUUCCGCCCCUUAGUGCUGCAGCUAACGCAUUAAGCACUCCGCCUGGGGAGUACGACCGCAAGGUUGAAACUCAAAGGAAUUGACGGGGACCCGCACAAGCGGUGGAGCAUGUGGUUUAAUUCGAAGCAACGCGAAGAACCUUACCAAAUCUUGACAUCCUUUGACAACUCUAGAGAUAGAGCCUUCCCCUUCGGGGGACAAAGUGACAGGUGGUGCAUGGUUGUCGUCAGCUCGUGUCGUGAGAUGUUGGGUUAAGUCCCGCAACGAGCGCAACCCUUAAGCUUAGUUGCCAUCAUUAAGUUGGGCACUCUAAGUUGACUGCCGGUGACAAACCGGAGGAAGGUGGGGAUGACGUCAAAUCAUCAUGCCCCUUAUGAUUUGGGCUACACACGUGCUACAAUGGACAAUACAAAGGGCAGCGAAACCGCGAGGUCAAGCAAAUCCCAUAAAGUUGUUCUCAGUUCGGAUUGUAGUCUGCAACUCGACUACAUGAAGCUGGAAUCGCUAGUAAUCGUAGAUCAGCAUGCUACGGUGAAUACGUUCCCGGGUCUUGUACACACCGCCCGUCACACCACGAGAGUUUGUAACACCCGAAGCCGGUGGAGUAACCUUUUAGGAGCUAGCCGUCGAAGGUGGGACAAAUGAUUGGGGUGAAGUCGUAACAAGGUAGCC
rnacentral:rRNA from 2 species